AUGAACGCUGGCGGCGUGCCUAAUACCUGCAAGUCGAGCGAACAGACGAGGAGCUUGCUCCUCUGACGUUAGCGGCGGACGGGUGAGUAACACGUGGAUAACCUACCUAUAAGACUGGGAUAACUUCGGGAAACCGGAGCUAAUACCGGAUAAUAUAUUUAACCGCAUGGUUCAAUAGUGAAAGACGGUUUUGCUGUCACUUAUAGAUGGAUCCGCGCCGCAUUAGCUAGUUGGUAAGGUAACGGCUUACCAAGGCAACGAUGCGUAGCCGACCUGAGAGGGUGAUCGGCCACACUGGAACUGAGACACGGUCCAGACUCCUACGGGAGGCAGCAGUAGGGAAUCUUCCGCAAUGGGCGAAAGCUUGACGGAGCAACGCCGCGUGAGUGAUGAAGGUCUUCGGAUCGUAAAACUCUGUUAUUAGGGAAGAACAAAUGUGUAAGUAACUAUGCACGUCUUGACGGUACCUAAUCAGAAAGCCACGGCUAACUACGUG
rnacentral:rRNA from 1 species